UCUUGCUACAUUCGCCGCUCCGGCUCCCGCCCACGCGCGGCCGAGUGACGCAGAUCCCGGCGUGGGCCGCCGCCGGGCGGGGGCGGGGGCGGCCGUUGGGGGCGGCCGUUGGGCCCGGGGCUCGGCCCCUUCCUACCGCCCCCUCCGCGGAAUCCGGAGGACGGCCCAUUCACACGGCAGCUGGGAGGAACCAAGUGGGCGCCGGGAGUGGGCGGCUCCCGCGAGUCCCGCUCCGGGCGCGGGGAGGGGACGACCAGGAGGGAGACGGGUGGGGGACGCCGCCCCGGGCCUGCUCUCCAGCUGCGGAGUGAACUGGGAAGGUUUGCAAUUAAAAAAAAGAAUUAUGUGUGAGGUUCCCGAUAUAGUAUUUCAAAGAGCACACCCGCCAAAUCCAACAUCCUCUAGGAGGCUGACUUGAAAAAAAAAAAAAAAAAAAAAAAACAGCGCGCCGGGCUCCCCUCGCCCCCGCAGGCUCGAGGCAGAGGCGGGGAGGCAGAUGAUCCAGGUGCGCCGCUGCCCGGGGGGCGAGGCGUCCGGCGGGAAGGCGGCAGCGACCGCACGGAGGAAGGGGCGGCAGGUGCGCGGCGCUGGAAGAACCGGCGGCUGGGGGAGCAUCUCUGCCUCGCCCAUCUUGCCCCCUCCCCACCUCCGCUCUGGCGUUGGGACGGGAGGAGGAGGGAGGAAUGGAACCAGGGAGUCCGAAGUACAGCUUUGACAACUGUCGCACUGGCCGGGUUUUGUCACUCACGCCAUUCCUAAUACCUCCUCCCGACUCCAGCACACACACAGUCUUCUCCCACUCCCACACCCUGAGGAUUUGUUAGAGGAAAGCAAAGAGAUGCACAUUCCAUCCUGGAAGAUAACAAUUAUGGUGUCUGAUUAUCCUCUGAAGGCCCUCUGGAAGAAAUCAAACAGUUUCAAGGCUUUAGAGUGUUCUUGGAGGCAUCCCAGACAGGUGUCUACACUGCAGCCAAAGGACCCAGCAGCUGGAGUACCCCUGUGAAGCACUCCUCAUGAGGGUGGAUGGAGGAUUUUGUUUGUUUCCUUGACAAAGGUGUGUGACUUGUCAGCCAAGAUGUUGGCUUUUUCAUGAAAGGAGCAAGGAAAUAGGAAGAGAGCAUGUUAAGGAAGAGAGCCCUUCUUGAAGCAAAUGGGCAAGAAUUGGAAGGAAGUGGGGAAGGAGGAUGGAGACUACAGAAGAUGUGCCUGUACUUAUGAGAAGUGACUAAAGUAGACAUAGCUAUUUUGGGAGAAGUGAAAAGCCAAAGAAAAAGUACCAAGUAAAGGGCUCCCCUGAAAAAAAAAUGGAAAGAAAAGGCAGAGGGGGCAAAGAAGAGAUCAUCCUCACAUAAACUCCUCUAAACCAGCCUCUUGACGUGGGACAGAUGGGAGUGUUGGGAUGGAGUAGUUGGGACAGAUCUGCAUGGAGAAGGGGCAGAGAAACAGCAGCCAGUCUUCUCUCUUUGCUUGGAUUGCAAGAGGUAAGUGUCAGGGAAAGGAAAGAAAAGCAGAAUGGGUUCAAAAACUGCCCCCAGCACACCAAAUACUUUACCAUGCUGAUUCAGAGAGCAUCCUGAGUUGCAGUAUCACCCAUCUAGCUA